rnacentral:rRNA from 1 species
AGCGAAAUUGGAUUAGCCCUUAAGCUUUACAUGUGUUAGACGAACGGUCUGGAAAGUCCGACGAUACAGGGUGAUAGUCCCGUAGUUGACGAUGCAUGUUCAGUGAAAUCGAGUAGGGCGGGACACGUGUUAUCCUGUCUGAAUAUGGGGGGACCAUCCUCCAAGGCUAAAUACUCCUGACUGACCGAUAGUGAACCAGUACCGUGAGGGAAAGGCGAAAAGAACCCCUGUGAGGGGAGUGAAAUAGAACCUGAAACCGUGUACGUACAAGCAGUAGGAGCACCUUCGUGGUGUGACUGCGUACCUUUUGUAUAAUGGGUCAGCGACUUAUAUUCAGUGGCAAGGUUAACCAUCUAGGGGAGCCGUAGGGAAACCGAGUCUUAACUGGGCGCCAUAGUCUCUGGAUAUAGACCCGAAACCGAGUGAUCUAGCCAUGGGCAGGUUGAAGGUUGAGUAACAUCAACUGGAGGACCGAACCGACUAAUGUUGAAAAAUUAGCGGAUGACUUGUGGCUAGGGGUGAAAGGCCAAUCAAACUCGGAGAUAGCUGGUUCUCCCCGAAAGCUAUUUAGGUAGCGCCUCGGACGAAUACUACUGGGGGUAGAGCACUGUUAAGGCUAGGGGGUCAUCCCGACUUACCAACCCUUUGCAAACUCCGAAUACCAGUAAGUACUAUCCGGGAGACACACGGCGGGUGCUAACGUCCGUCGUGGAGAGGGAAACAACCCAGACCGCCAGCUAAGGUCCCAAAUUACAGCUAAGUGGGAAACGAUGUGGGAAGGCUUAGACAGCUAGGAUGUUGGCUUAGAAGCAGCCAUCAUUUAAAGAAAGCGUAAUAGCUCACUAGUCGAGUCGGCCUGCGCGGAAGAUGUAACGGGGCUAAGUUGUAAA